CAACCAACUACAACUAUUCUUCAUUGAGUAAGUAGUGUUCCAGUGGAAAAGAUCAGUGAUUCUUUUAGUCCUGUCCAAAAUUCCAGUUUUGAGGGUAAGGAGUUGCUGAGGUUCCCAUGUCCAUUCUGUAAAAGUGAUGAUCAUCACCUCAGUAGAUGCCAAGCUUUUAGCCUGCUUGAUCUGGAGAAUAUGAGAAAAUGGAUUAAAGAGCAUCACUGCUGUUGGAGAUGUGGCAGGGCUCAUCAGGCCUCUUGGUGUGACUUAAAGAAAGGCUGUCCUAAAUGUAAAGGUAAGCUCCUGGGAAUUUUACAUAAGGAGAACCAGAAGAAGCCAGACUCUGGUGUUUUCUUGCUUAGUCGCCCAAGCUGUUCCCCAAGAGUUGUACUGAAAGUUGUUAAAGUCCUGCUGAGCCAUAAUGGUAGAUGUAUGGAGACUUAUGCCAUCUUAGAUGACGGUUCUGAAAGGACAAUGCUUCUACCUCUAGCAGCACAGCAACUUGGAUUGAAGGGCACAGCUGAAUCAUUGGUGCUAAGAACUGUGCGUCAAGACACAGAGGUCCUGAGAGGAGCUAGUGUAAACUUCACAAUUUCUCCAGUAAAUUCUCAUAAGAAAUAUCAGAUCCAAGGGGCUUUCACUGCACAGGGAUUGGGCCUUCCUGAGCAAUCCUAUCCCAUUUCUAGCCUUCUAAAACGAUUCAACCAUCUAAAGGGACUUCCACUGGAAACAUUUAAUAAAGUCCAGCCUAUGCUUUUGAUUGGUGCUGAUCAUCCGUAUCUUCUAGCUCCAGUGGAGAAGGUUCGUCUUAGCCCUCAUGGGGGACCAGCCGCAGUUCAUACCAGAUUGGGAUGGGCUCUUCAAGGUCCAGUAUCGUCAGCUCAAUCAAAUGAGACUGAAACCCAGUGUCUGUUUCUUUCUGGAGUUUCCAUUACCUCUCAACUCCAACAGGAUGUAGAGCGGUUAUGGCAAGUGGACGUGUUUCCCUAUAAGUGUGAAAAGACCAUUAUACGGUCCAAACAAGACCAGUAUGCCCUAGAUUGUCUUAACCGGUUGACGACAAGAGAGACUGUGAAUGGUGUCUCUAAAUAUGCCACUCCUCUACUUCGUUCAAAGCAUGCACCCUUGUUCAAUGCUCCUAAAGUGGCAGUUAUGUCAUCCCUCCGAUGGACAGAGCGCCAACUGACACGAAAUCCUGAGCAGGCCCUUAUCUAUGAAGGAGAGAUUCAAAAACUGGUUGAUUCUGGUUAUGUGAGAAAGUUGAGUCAUGAAGAAGCCUUUCAAAGUAGUGAGUCCUGGUUUGUACCUCACCAUCUCGUAAAGCAUAAUGGAAAGAAUCGAUUAGUGUUUAACUGUUCCUAUAUGUAUAAAGGAGAAUCACUGAAUGCUCAUCUACUGCCUGGUCCGACCUUAGGGUCAUCCUUAUUAGGUGUACUCCUUCGUUUUAGGGAACGUCCUGUGGCCAUUAGUGGUGAUAUUAAGUCCAUGUUUCAUCAAGUUUGUCUGUUGCCUUCUGAUAAACCUCUCCUGCGUUUUCUGUGGCGAAGCAUGAGACUGGAUAAGCCAGCUGAUGUUUAUGAAUGGCAAGUUUUGCCAUUUGGAAGUACCUGUAGCCCUUGCUGUGCGGUUUAUGCUUUGCAAAAGCAUGUAAGAGCUNNNNNNNNNNNNNNNNNNNNNNNNNNNNNNNNNNNNNNNNNNNNNNNNN
ensembl:lncRNA